GCCCGAGCUAGCCUGCUGGAGGAUGAGGGAAGAAUCCUGUUGUCCUAGACCAGCCUAUAGCCAGCCGGGCCCAAAUAUACGAAAAGACCCAGCCUGAAUAAAUACAGUGUGACUCUUGGACCCAUAGACGCUGGAUCAAAGGCUGUUCCACUCCAAUCUCCGCUGGAUGCCAAGCCCGGCCAAAAGUCCCAGGACAUGGCCUGGCCCCCUACCCAUCAAUGCUGUCCCUCUUCUGACACCCCAUGGAGUCACCCUAUGGACUCAGGACCAAUGAGGUUUUGGGGAGAAGACAGAUCGUCUGUCUACAGGUAUCAACAUUGCUUUCCUUCUCAAAAAUUUUUUUUAUUUUAAACCUC
rnacentral:lncRNA from 10 species